CCUACGGGCGGCAGCAGUCGAGAAUCAUUCACAAUGGGGGAAACCCUGAUGGUGCGACGCCGCGUGGGGGAAUGAAGGUCUUCGGAUUGUAAACCCCUGUCAUGUGGGAGCAAAUUAAAAAGAUAGUACCACAAGAGGAAGAGACGGCUAAAUCUGUGCAAGCAGCCGCGGUAAUACAGAGGUCUCAAGCGUUGUUCGGAAUCACUGGGCGUAAAGCGUGCGUAGGCGGGUUCGUAAGUCGUGUGUGAAAGGCGGGGGCUCAACCCGCGGACGGCACAUGAUACUGCGAGACUGGAGUAAUGGUGGGGGAACCGGAAUUCGCGGUGUAGCAGUGAAAUGCGUAGAUAUCGAGAAGAACACUGGUGGCGAAGGCGGGUUCCUGGACAUUAACUGACGCUGAGGCACGAAGGCCAGGGGAGCGAAAGGGAUUAGAUACCCUUGUAGUC
rnacentral:rRNA from 1 species